GACGAACGCUGGCGGCGUGCCUAACACAUGCAAGUCGAGCGAAUGAAGUUCCUUCGGGAAUGGAUUUAGCGGCGGACGGGUGAGUAACACGUGGGCAACCUGCCUCAUAGAGGGGAAUAGCCUUCCGAAAGGGAGAUUAAUACCGCAUAAGAUUGUAGUAUCGCAUGAUACAGCAAUUAAAGGAGCAAUCCGCUAUGAGAUGGGCCCGCGGCGCAUUAGCUAGUUGGUGAGGUAACGGCUCACCACGGCGACGAUGCGUAGCCGACCUGAGAGGGUGAUCGGCCACAUUGGGACUGGGACACGGCCCAGACUCCUACGGGAGGCAGCAGUGGGGAAUAUUGCACAAUGGGGGAAACCCUGAUGCAGCAACGCCGCGUGAGUGAUGACGGCCUUAGGGUUGUAAAGCUCUGUCUUCAGGGACGAUAAUGACGGUACCUGAAGAGGAAGCCACGGCUAACUACGUG
rnacentral:rRNA from 1 species